rnacentral:rRNA from 1 species
UACGUAGGUCCCGAGCGUUGUCCGGAUUUAUUGGGCGUAAAGCGAGCGCAGGUGGUUUAUUAAGUCUGGUGUAAAAGGCAGUGGCUCAACCAUUGUAUGCAUUGGAAACUGGUAGACUUGAGUGCAGGAGAGGAGAGUGGAAUUCCAUGUGUAGCGGUGAAAUGCGUAGAUAUAUGGAGGAGCACCGGUGGCGAAAGCGGCUCUCUGACCUGUAACUGACACUGAGGCUCGAAAGCGUGGGGAGCAAACAGG